rfam:Rhizobiales bacterium 62-47 SCNpilot_cont_300_bf_scaffold_6, whole genome shotgun sequence.
UCCCUGGUAGCUCAGUGGUAGAGCAACCGGCUGUUAACCGGUUGGUCGCUGGUUCGAAUCCGGCCCGGGGAG